rnacentral:lncRNA from 1 species
CCAUUGUUUUAUUUUCCUCCAAAUCACAUAUCACCAACUUGCCUACUAUGUGUCCUGUUUUAUUAUCUGAUUCCCUCCACGAAAAUGGGUCUUCUUCUUCUUGUAGUUUUUUUUUUUUAAUGUUUUGUUGCUAUAUUAUACUAGUACAUAUUUUAGGGGUAUGUGUGAUAUUUUGAUACCUUUAUACAAUGUGUAAUAAUCAAAUUAGUAUCAUUGGGAUAUACAUCACCUCAAACAUUUACCUUUUCUUUGUGUUGGAAAUGUUAGAAUUCUUCUCAAUGAAUUAUUGUUAACUACAAUUUCCCUACUAUACUAGUGAAUACUAGAACUUAUUUCUUUUAUCUAACUGUAUAUUUUUACCCCUUAAUCCAUUUAUCUUCGUACCUCCCUUUCCUUUUCCCUUCCCAGCCUUUGGUGACCACCAUUCUAUCCUUUCCUUCCAUGACAUCCACCCCAAUGAAUUUAAACUGAAAUCUCACUGCUCUUUAAAUUUCCAUUCUCUUGGCUACCAGUGAAUUUAAGCAUCUUUUUCUACAUCCGUGGCCAUUUAAACUUGCUCUUCUGUGACUUUUUGUUAGCCUGUUUUUUUAACAAUAUUCUGUUUCUCUUGUCAGUUUGGAGAAGCAGUUUGAAUAAUAUAGACAACUUACCCCUAUCUGACAUUUGCAUUACACUAUUUUUUCUUGAUCUAUGUGUCUAUUGAUUUUAAUUGCUUCUUUAGCAACACAAAGGUCAUUAUCUACUUUUUUUCUUUUUCUUUUUCUUUUUCCUUUUUUUUUUUUUUNNNNNNNNNNNNNNNNNNNNNNNNNNNNNNNNNNNNNNNUGGCACAAUCAUAGCUCACUGCAGCCUCAAACUUUUGGGCUCAAACAGUCCUCCCAAGUAACUGGGAUCACAGGCACAUGCCACCACACCAGCCAUUAUCAUUUCUCUUAUAGCAUCUAAGUUUCUUCCCCUUUUUAAGAAACUCACAAUGCCUAUGUUACAAGAUUUACAAGAUUUUCUUAAAAGAGUUUUUGUUUGUUUGGUCAGUUUUGUUUUUCACACUUGAGCAUUUCAAUCCUAAGAAACCUAUUU